rfam:Cricetulus griseus cell line CHO-K1, whole genome shotgun sequence.
GCCGGGCGAGGUGGCGCACGCCUGUAGUCCCAGCUACUCAGGAGGCUGAGACGGGAGGAUUGCUUGAGUCCAGAAGUUCUGGACUCAGUAGCUGGGUGUCCACACUAAGUUUGGUAUAAACAUGGUGACCUCCCGGGAACAGGGGACCACCAGGUUGCCUAAGAAGGGGUGAACCGGCCCAGGUCAGAAAUGGAGCAGGUCAAAACUCCCAUGCUGAUCAGUAGAUAUAACAUGGCUUUCCCCCCAAGAAUUCACUAUGAAUAAGACCUGGUCGGGAAGGUAGUGGUCAAACUUUU